rnacentral:rRNA from 1 species
GAUGAACGCUGGCGGCGUGCCUAAUACAUGCAAGUCGAGCGAACAGGCGAGGAGCUUGCUCCUCUGACGUUAGCGGCGGACGGGUGAGUAACACGUGGAUAACCUACCUAUAAGACUGGGAUAACUUCGGGAAACCGGAGCUAAUACCGGAUAAUAUAUUGAACCGCAUGGUUCAAUAGUGAAAGACGGUUUUGCUGUCACUUAUAGAUGGAUCCGCGCCGCAUUAGCUAGUUGGUAAGGUAACGGCUUACCAAGGCGACGAUGCGUAGCGGGCCUGAGAGGAUGAUGAGGGACACUGGGAGUGAGACACGGACAAGACUCCGACGGGAGGCAGCAGGGGGGAAGUGUGGACAAUGGGCGCAAGCAUGAUAAAGCUAUGCAGAGUGGAGGAUGAAGGUCUGAGGGUUGUAAACGGAUUUUGUACGGAACGAAAAGACUUAUGUUAAUACAGGAGGGUCAUGACGGUACCGGAAGAAGAAGCACCGGCUAACUACGUG